GUGUAGAGCUUAAAAUUAUGCUCAAUGUCACACUUACUGGAACAACUCAGUAUGCUGAGAUUGUCUCAUUUCAUUAGACAUGAUUUCAUCUUUUUUUUCAAUUUUUUUAAUGACAGUAGCCUGAUGCAUAGAUCUUUAAAAGGUCUGCAGAAACCAGAAGAUGAAAUGUAGAGUGAUUCAUCUGAACACUGAUUCAGUCCAAAAACUGAACAAUAGAUUUCACAACUGUCAGUGCUGAGUGGAGUUCCUUGUCUGCUUCUACACUACAAGCCUUCAGUCACCCUUGGAGGAAGCUCAUUUCUACUUCUGAACAAGGGUAUUUUGUUCACGGCACCACAGGCAAGUAUCUAGAAGUAUAUCUAUGCUAGGAAGCGAAGAACUUCAUGCUAAUUGAUUUUUAUGACUCACAUUUGCCAUUCCAGUAUAGCCAUAAUGCUGAUAUAAUAUUUCUGGACAUUUUUAGUUCUUCCAGGAAGUGUUUAGGAAGAGGAGAGCUUGAAUGGCUGCCGGCUUGGUCUGCAGAUGUGUAGUUCUUCCUGGGUUGGAUUUGCAGGGUUCAUGUAAGCAUGAACUCAGACCCUCUGCAAAGGUAGAGGUGAUAUUUAGGCUGCAUUCUGCUGACGUGUUCCUGAGCUUGAUGAAGAGUUACCUUUUUUGACCUGGGAAGAUUGGAAAAGAAAUCUGGAAUUGCAGGAUGUGGAUUUGGCUUCAGUCUUUACCUUGAUGAUUUCAGAAUAAUCUUUGACAUUCAGAAUUAAUCAGUCCUUGGCUACUUCUGGAGAAAACCCCAAGCCAUCAUGGGCUCAGGAUGUGGCCUAACUCCCCAUGUGCAGCAUGGUUCUGGACUACACAAGGUGCAGGCUGUGGUACCAAAUAAGCUGUCCUCAUUCGGCAGGCUGAGCUGCUCUCAGAGGACUUCAUGGCCUUGUAUCACACCCAGAAUGAGGAGCGGGCACCAAAUAAUAAACAAAAAUAUGCUGUCAUCCUCAACCUCUUGUGGGAUGGAGGAGAAGUCUGACAACUUAACUUGGCUUUGCUAUCCCUCAUGGGCAAACGUGCUUCCUUUCCUUCCUGUGAUGCAUUGCAAGCGUAAUGUGUCUUGUCCUGCUGCCAAUACCACCACAAUAGAUUACAGUGCUUCUCUGAGCAGAGAUACUGGUUUGAAACACUGGAUGUGCAGCUUCAGACACACCUAACUGCCUCUCUGUCACUGAGUUCCCACCUGUGCUCUGGUUACUCCUGCAACUGUUCCAUGGCUACAUCAUAAAUUAGAGCAAGAACAUGAUCUGAAUGAAGUACAUGGUUUUAAUUAAUUACUGAUUUGCACCGUGGCAUCACAACGUGUGGCAUCAGUGAGAGUGAGAUAGAAAUGAGGAUGAAGUGGGAGCAGUGUGGAAGAGUAGGAUCUUCUUAAACUAACUCUGGCAUCAUCCUGGUGUGCCCAGGCCUGGCAUUAAUAACUCAUAGCAUAUGAACUAGAUGCGUAACUUGUCAUUCACUGCUUCAUCUGGUUUUCUAUUUUAUUGGUCCACGUAGCUCAGAGUGAAAAAAAUGAGCAAUUUGUCUGUAAAUGCCAUUUAACAUACCAUGACUUAUGUCUUUGAGUUAGUUUUAACAGCCUGAUGGAGAAAGCGGUAGGAAAGCUAGAGUGAGAAAGGUAUAAAAACAGCAACACUAACAGAAGGGGAGGAACUGCCUCAGAAAAAUAAGGUAUGUGGAUGGCUGAAUCUCAAAAGGAGUCUAGACUUAUUGUCUAGCAGGAUAAAUAUGAGGAAAAACAACAUGUGAGAUACAAUAAAAAAAAAAAAACAACAAUGACGGUAAAACA
rnacentral:lncRNA from 1 species